ACCCCUGUGAGAAUGCCCUCUAACUCCCACCCGGAAACGAGGAGCAGGCAUCAGGCUCACCCCACCCUGCCCAAGACGCCUUGCUUAGCCACACCCCCAAGGGAACUCAGCAGUAAUAAAUAUUGGGCCAUAAGUGUAAACUUGACCCAACUACGGUUAAUAGGGCCGGUUAAACUCGUGCCAGCCACCGCGGUCAUACGAGUGUUUGCCCAAGUAGACAAUUACCGGCGUAAAAUGUGGUUAGGGAACCCCCAAGUUAAUAGAGCAGAACUGCCUCCGGGCUGUUAUACGCACCCGACAGCGAGAAUUCCUAGCACGAAAGUCGCUCUAAUCCAACCUGAACCCACGAGAGCUGGGGAACAAACUGGGAUUAGAUACCCCACUAUGCCCAGUCGUAAACAUUAAUAGGCACCUUACAAAGCCUAUUCGCCAGGGAACUACAAGCCUUAGCUUCAAACCCAAAGGACUUGGCGGUGCUUUAGACCCACCUAGAGGAGCCUGUCCUAGAACCGAUACCCCCCGUUCAACCUCACCACUCCUUGCCCAACCCGCCUAUAUACCACCGUCGUCAGCUUACCCCGUGAGGGGAUUACAGUAAGCUAAACUGGCACUGCCCAAAACGUCAGGUCGAGGUGUAGCGCACGGAGUGUGCCAGAGAUGGGCUACAUUUUCUGACCCAGAAAACUACGAAAGAAGACUUGAAAAAUCUUCAGAAGGAGGAUUUAGCAGUAACUGGGGAAUAGAGCGCCCCACUGAAACCGGCCCUUAAGCGCGUACACACCGCCCGUCACUCUCCCCAAGUCUAUUUCACAGCAACCCUAUAAUGCCAGCUUGACAAAGGGGAGGCAAGUCGUAACACGGUAAGUGUACCGGAAGGUGCACUUGGUCAACA
rnacentral:ncRNA from 1 species